rnacentral:rRNA from 1 species
AGCAGCCGCGGUAAUUCCAGCUCCAAUAGCGUAUAUUAAAGUUGUUGCAGUUAAAAAGCUCGUAGUUGAAUUUCGGGGUCAGUAGGUCGGUCGUGCCUAUGGUAUGCACUGGUCUCACUGAUUCCUCCUUCUUGAAGAACCGUAAUGUCAUUAGCUUGGUGUUGCGGGGAAACAGGACUGUUACUUUGAAAAAUUAGAGUGUUUAAAGCAGGCCAACGCCUGAAUACAUUAGCAUGGAAUAAUGAAAUAGGACGUUCGAUCCUAUUUUGUUGGUUUCUAGGAUUGACGUAAUGAUUAAUAGGGAUAGUUGGGGGCAUUAGUAUUCAAUUGUCAGAGGUGAAAUUCUUGGAUUUAUUGAAGACUAACUACUGCGAAAGCAUUUGCCAAGGAUGUUUUCAUUAAUCAAGAACGAAAGUUAGGGGAUCGAAGACGAUCAGAUACCGUCGUAGUCUUAACCAUAAACUAUGCCGACUAGGGAUCGGAUGAUGUUAAUUUUUAAUGUACUCAUUCGGCGCCUUAC